rnacentral:rRNA from 1 species
AUACGUAGGGAGCAAGCGUUGUCCGGAUUUACUGGGUGUAAAGGGUGCGUAGGCGGCUCUGCAAGUCAGGCGUGAAAUACAUGGGCUUAACCCAUGGACCGCGUUUGAAACUGUGGAGCUUGAGUGGAGUAGAGGUAGGCGGAAUUCCCGGUGUAGCGGUGAAAUGCGUAGAGAUCGGGAGGAACUCCAGUGGCGAAGGCGGCCUACUGGGCUUUAACUGACGCUGAGGCACGAAAGCAUGGGUAGCAAACAGGAUUAGAUACCCUGGUAGUCCAUGCUGUAAACGAUGAUUACUAGGUGUGGGGGGUCUGACCCCUUCCGUGCCGGAGUUAACACAAUAAGUAAUCCACCUGGGGAGUACGACCGCAAGGUUGAA